rnacentral:rRNA from 1 species
CAACUCUUAGCGUGGGAUUACU